rnacentral:lncRNA from 1 species
GUGGAAUUCUCUGGGCAGUUAGGAGGUAAGACAUGGCAAAAGAAGAAGUGGAAGAAGGAGGAAUCAAGAGGCAAGAAACCAGGAUGGGGACACCUUUCAGGAUAGCUUGGCUUGAGACUUUCCUUUAACUGGGAAAUUUUCAAGACUGAUCCCCAGAGAAACUGCACACGGUCAUUGGGCCUCUCGUUAAAGUGCUUGACCCUUGGGAAGGUGUGAAGAGGCAUUCUUCCAAAGAUGAUAUUUUCACUACCCCACAUGGAGUUUUACUUCCAUAAAUAAAACAGCUUAACUUGGGUAAGUCA